UGCUUAAUGCAUUGGAACCUUCAGUUUUGAAAAAUCCUAAACCCACUCAAUUUCUUUCCUACAUCUAUAAAGUCAUACUCUUCAAGGAACAUGCCAUCAAUAUUCUUCAUUUUAUUCUGUUCACUUCUGAGAUUUGCAAAUCUGUAAAUGACAAAGACAAAGAAAUUUUGAAAAAGUGAAAAGUGAAGUCUUGACGGUGGGCCUAUGAGAAAUUGAAAUAAAAAUGUUUGCAAAUAUGGUCAAUGAUAUUGACUAUGGGAAAACUGAUAGAUCUCUCAAGUUAUAGCUAUGGGUUUCUUCUAAAGUUCCUGAUGUUGAGAUCAUAAAUGAAGAACAUGUAACAUUAGCUCCAUUUGCAUUUUAUUUAGAAAGGAAAAUUAGACUGAGGAUGAGUCUCUGUGUAUUUUCAGAGAUUAUGUUACUGGCUUUCUUUGACUGUGAUUAACUAUGUGCCCUCUAUUACUUUUCUGUUUGCAGUCAUUUUAAAGUAACCAAUUUAAUAGGUUGGAGCACAUGAAGAUAAAAGAGGUAGCAUGUCAAGCCAAAACGAUUGGUACUGCAACGCAAUAACAUUUGCAGGAACAUUGCUGAUGGCUCUGUAUAAAGGUCAUGUAGUUAGUGUUGGGAAGUCGUCCAUUAUUCAUGCUACAAGCCAGGCUGAGAUUGUGAAUGAUUCCAAUAAUAACCGGUGGAUCAUAGGAACCUGUGUCCUC